AUUGAACGCUGGCGGCAGGCCUAACACAUGCAAGUCGAACGAGUGGCGGACGGGUGAGUAAUGUCUGGGAAACUGCCCGAUGGAGGGGGAUAACUACUGGAAACGGUAGCUAAUACCGCAUACCAUCGGAUGUGCCCAGAUGGGUGUAGCUUGUAGGUGGGGUAACGGCGCACCUAGGCGACGAUCCCUAGCUGGUCUGAGAGGAUGACCAGCCACACUGGAACUGAGACACGGUCCAGACUCCUACGGGAGGCAGCAGUGGGGAAUAUUGCACAAUGGGCGCAAGCCUGAUGCAGCCAUGCCGCGUGUAUGAAGAAGGCCUUCGGGUUGUAAAGUACUUUCAGCGGGGAGGCGUUACCCACAGAAGAAGCACCGGCUAACUCCGUGCCAGCAGCCGCGGUAAUUC
rnacentral:rRNA from 1 species